CCUCUCUCAGGGUGGCACCUGGAGAGUUUGUGGUACUCUACCAGUCUCGAUUACGAGAGGGAGAGUCAAGCAGAGGCCUACCUAUUCCAUUCCCAGCUUGGGUGGUGGCUAGUGAGUGGCAGACAAUCUGCUACAAGU